rnacentral:tRNA from 2 species
GGCCACUUAGCUCAGUUGGUAGAGCGUUCGACUGAAAAUCGAAAGGUCGGCAGUUCGACCCUGCCAGUGGCCACCA